GACGUAGGGCGCGAGCGUUGUCCGGAUUUAUUGGGCGUAAAGAGCUCGUAGGCGGCUUGUUGCGUCGACUGUGAAAACCCGCGGCUUAACUGCGGGCUUGCAGUUGAUACGGGCAGGCUAGAGUUCGGUAGGGGAGACUGGAAUUCCUGGUGUAGCGGUGAAAUGCGCAGAUAUCAGGAGGAACACCGGUGGCGAAGGCGGGUCUCUGGGCCGAUACUGACGCUGAGGAGCGAAAGUGUGGGGAGCGAACAGG
rnacentral:rRNA from 1 species